GCAGCGAGGUGCUCUGGGAAUCGCGGGCGGCGCCGGCUGGCGGCGCGGUCCUCACUGGGGAUCCCGGGGGCUGGGGCUUGACCCGGAGUUGCAGCGAGCCCCUCAGAGCGGCAGUUUUUUUGAGUACUAGAACAGCACAAACAUGUUUCGGAAUAGUCUCAAGAUGCUUCUUACCGGAGGGAAAUCGAGUCGUAAAAACAGAUCAAGUGAUGGAGGGAGCGAGGAACCACCGGAUCGAAGACAGUCAAGUGUAGACUCUCGCCAAAGCCGCUCUGGGCAAGGUGGCAUCUCCACAGAAAGCGACUGUGUUUUUGAGCCCGACUACGCCGUUCCACCACUUCCAGUGAGUGAAGGUAUGCAGCACAUUCGGAUUAUGGAGGGCAUGUCUCGCUCUCUUCCAUCCUCCCCCUUACUCACACAUCAGUCUAUCAGUGUUCGGCUCCAACCUGUGAAGAAGUUAACUGCCCCUCUGAGGAAGGCAAAGUUUGUUGAGAGCCCACGAAUUCCAGAAUCCGAGCUUGGCUCACCAACCCUCGCUUCAGCUCAGAAACUGGACGUGGAUGCGUACUGCCCUGGUGAUGCUGAACAGGAACUUGGUCCCCCUCCAUCUGUAGAUGAAGCAGCAAACACACUCAUGACUCGUCUGGGUUUCCUCCUUGGAGAGAAAGUGACGGAAGUUCAGCCAGGUGACCAAUACAACAUGGAAGUACAGGAUGAAAAUCAGACCUCAGCAGUCACGCAGCGGAUAAGUCCCUGUUCCACCUUGACUAGCAGUACCGCCUCCCCACCAGCCAGCAGCCCCUGCUCCACCCUCCCGCCAGUCAGUUCAAGUGCAACUGCCAAGGAUUGCAGCUAUGGGGCUGUUACUAGCCCAACCUCUACCCUUGAAAGCAGAGAUAGCGGCAUUAUUGCUACGUUGACAAGCUAUUCUGAAAAUGUAGAACGCACAAAAUAUGUUGGGGAAAGCAGUAAAGAAUUAGGGUCUGGAGGAAACCUAAAACCUUGGCAGUCUCAAAAAUCCAGCAUGGAUUCCUGUUUGUAUCGAGUAGAUGAAAACAUGACAGCUUCCACCUAUAGUCUGAAUAAGAUCCCAGAAAGGAAUUUGGAAACAGUUUUAUCACAAUCAGUACAGUCUAUUCCUCUAUAUCUUAUGCCACGGCCAAAUUCAGUAGCAGCCACCAGCUCUGCCCACUUGGAGGACCUUGCUUACCUGGAUGAGCAGAGACAUACACCUUUGAGAACUUCUCUUCGAAUGCCGAGACAAAGCAUGGGCGGUGCUCGCACACAACAGGAUUUAAGAGUUCACUUUGCACCUUAUAGGCCUCCAGAUAUCUCCCUGAAGCCUCUGCUCUUUGAAGUGCCCAGCAUCACUACAGAGUCAGUGUUUGUUGGCCGGGAUUGGGUUUUCCAUGAAAUAGAUGCUCAACUUCAGAGUUCAAAUGCCAGCGUGAACCAAGGAGUAGUGAUUGUGGGAAACAUUGGGUUCGGCAAAACUGCCAUCAUUUCCAGACUGGUGGCCCUCAGCUGCCAUGGAACACGGAUGAGACAGAUCGCCUCAGACAGCCCACACGCCUCCCCCAAACAUGUGGAUGCCAACAGAGAGCUGCCACUCACACAGCCACCUUCAGCCCAUUCAUCCAUCCCCAGUGGAAGCUGCCCAGGAACCCCAGAAAUGCGCAGGCGGCAGGAGGAGGCUAUGCGGAGACUAGCCUCGCAGGUGGUUGCCUAUCACUAUUGCCAAGCAGAUAAUGCCUACACCUGCCUGGUCCCAGAAUUUGUCCACAAUGUUGCUGCCCUGCUCUGCCGCUCACCUCAGCUGACGGCCUAUCGGGAGCAGCUUCUUCGGGAGCCUCACUUACAGAGCAUGCUGAGCCUUCGGUCCUGUGUUCAAGACCCCAUGGCCUCCUUCCGGAGGGGAGUCCUGGAGCCGCUGGAGAAUCUCCACAAAGAGAGAAAAAUCCCAGAUGAAGAUUUCAUCAUCCUAAUUGAUGGAUUAAAUGAAGCAGAAUUUCACAAACCGGAUUAUGGGGACACAAUUGUUUCAUUUCUGAGUAAAAUGAUUGGAAAAUUUCCUUCUUGGCUCAAACUAAUUGUAACAGUUAGGACCAGUUUACAGGAAAUUACCAAGCUGCUGCCUUUCCAUAGGAUUUUUUUGGAUCGACUAGAAGAGAAUGAAGCCAUAGACCAGGAUCUGCAGGCUUACAUCCUGCACCGGAUACACAGCAGCUCAGAGAUCCAGAAUAACAUUUCACUUAAUGGCAAAAUGGACAAUACUACAUUUGGCAAACUCAGUUCUCACCUCAAGACCCUCAGUCAAGGGUCCUAUCUAUACCUGAAACUCACAUUUGACCUCAUAGAGAAAGGCUAUCUAGUGUUAAAGAGCUCUAGCUACAAAGUAGUUCCUGUUUCGCUCUCUGAGGUUUAUUUACUCCAGUGCAAUAUGAAGUUCCCAACCCAGUCUUCCUUUGACCGGGUGAUGCCUCUCCUGAAUGUGGCAGUGGCCUCUCUGCACCCACUCACUGAUGAACAUAUCUUCCAGGCCAUCAAUGCUGGUAGCAUUGAAGGCACCCUAGAAUGGGAGGAUUUUCAGCAGAGAAUGGAGAACCUCUCCAUGUUCCUAAUCAAGCGCAGAGACAUGACUCGUAUGUUUGUACAUCCUUCUUUUCGAGAAUGGCUUAUCUGGAGAGAAGAAGGAGAGAAAACCAAAUUUCUCUGUGAUCCCAGGAGUGGUCACACAUUACUUGCUUUCUGGUUUUCUCGCCAAGAGGGAAAACUAAACCGACAGCAGACUAUUGAACUGGGACAUCACAUCCUCAAAGCACACAUUUUUAAGGGUUUGAGUAAAAAAGUUGGUGUGUCAUCUUCCAUCCUCCAAGGUCUCUGGAUCUCCUAUAGCACAGAAGGUCUUUCCAUGGCAUUGGCAUCUUUACGAAAUCUCUACACUCCAAAUAUAAAGGUCAGCCGACUGCUGAUUUUGGGAGGUGCCAACAUUAAUUACCGGACAGAGGUUUUAAAUAAUGCUCCAAUUCUGUGUGUCCAGUCUCAUCUUGGUUACACAGAAAUGGUGGCCCUGCUACUGGAGUUUGGGGCCAAUGUGGAUGCCUCUUCUGAAAGCGGCCUGACCCCUCUGGGCUAUGCAGCGGCGGCUGGCUUCCUGAGCAUCGUUGUACUUCUGUGCAAGAAGCGUGCCCAGGUGGAUCAUUUGGACAAGAAUGGGCAGUGUGCUUUGGUCCAUGCUGCACUCCGAGGUCACCUGGAGGUUGUCAAGUUUUUGAUUCAGUGUGACUGGACGAUGGCCGGCCAGCAGCAAGGAGUAUUUAAGAAGAGCCAUGCCAUCCAGCAGGCCCUCAUUGCUGCAGCCAGCAUGGGGUACACGGAGAUUGUCUCCUACCUACUUGAUCUUCCAGAAAAAGAUGAAGAAGAAGUAGAGCGAGCACAGAUCAACAGUUUUGACAGUCUCUGGGGAGAGACAGCACUGACAGCUGCAGCCGGAAGGGGCAAGCUGGAGGUGUGCCGUCUGCUCUUGGAACAGGGGGCAGCAGUGGCCCAGCCAAACCGCCGAGGGGCAGUGCCCCUGUUCAGCACUGUUCGCCAGGGCCACUGGCAGAUUGUUGAUCUUUUACUCACCCAUGGAGCUGAUGUCAACAUGGCAGACAAGCAAGGUCGUACUCCCCUGAUGAUGGCUGCCUCUGAAGGCCAUCUGGGAACUGUGGACUUUCUACUUGCACAAGGUGCCUCCAUUGCUCUCAUGGACAAAGAAGGACUGACAGCCCUCAGCUGGGCUUGUUUGAAGGGUCAUCUCUCAGUAGUGCGCUCUCUGGUGGAUAAUGGGGCUGCUACGGACCACGCUGACAAGAACGGCCGCACCCCACUGGAUCUGGCAGCUUUCUACGGUGAUGCCGAGGUGGUCCAGUUCCUGGUGGAUCACGGGGCCAUGAUCGAGCACGUCGACUAUAGCGGAAUGCGCCCUCUGGAUCGAGCAGUGGGGUGCCGGAACACUUCUGUUGUUGUCACUCUUCUGAAGAAAGGAGCCAAGAUAGGUUGUCAGACGUUACCGAGUCGCCCACGAGGUCCAGCCACAUGGGCGAUGGCCACCUCCAAACCAGACAUCAUGAUCAUCCUGUUGAGCAAGCUGAUGGAAGAGGGGGACAUGUUUUAUAAGAAAGGUAAAGUAAAGGAGGCUGCCCAGCGUUACCAGUACGCCCUGAAGAAAUUCCCUCGAGAAGGGUUUGGUGAGGACUUGAAAACCUUCCGGGAACUAAAGGUGUCUCUCCUCCUCAACCUCUCCCGAUGUCGCAGGAAAAUGAACGAUUUUGGAAUGGCGGAGGAAUUUGCUACUAAGGCCCUGGAGCUGAAACCGAAAUCUUAUGAAGCUUACUAUGCAAGAGCAAGGGCAAAACGCAGCAGCAGACAGUUUGCAGCAGCCUUAGAGGAUCUGAACGAGGCCAUCAAGCUCUGCCCAAACAACCGUGAGAUCCAGAGACUCCUGCUGCGAGUGGAGGAGGAGUGCCGCCAGGUGCAGCCGCCUCAGCAGCCGCCUCAGCCUCCGCUCCCGGAAGAAACGGAACCCGAACCACAGCACGAAGAUAUAUACUCUGUACAGGAUAUAUUCGAGGAGGAGUACCUGGAACAGGAUGUCGAAAACGUCUCCAUCGGCCUCCAGACCGAGGCCCGGCCCAGUCAGGGGCUCCCAAUAAUCCAGAGCCCGCCCGCCUCUCCAGCCCAUCGGGACUCCGCCUACAUCUCCAGCUCACCACUUGGCUCGCAUCAGGUUUUUGACUUCCGUUCCAGUAGUUCCGUAGGUUCUCCCACCAGACAGGGCUAUCAGUCCACCUCACCCGCUCUUUCUCCAACUCACCAGAACUCUCAUUACAGGCCUAGUCCGCCACACACUUCCCCAGCCCACCAGAGCGGGUCUUACCGCUUUAGCCCCCCGCCCGUGGGAGGACAGGGCAAGGAAUACCCAAGCCCUCCCCCUUCCCCUCUCCGAAGAGGCCCUCAGUAUCGGGCCAGCCCUCCCGCCGAAAGCAUGAGUGUCUAUAGAUCCCAGUCUGGCUCACCCGUGCGCUAUCAGCAAGAAACAAAUGUGAGUCAGCUUCCUGGCAGGCCAAAAUCUCCAUUAUCCAAAAUGGCCCAGCGGCCCUACCAGAUGCCUCAGCUUCCUGUGGCAGUUCCCCAGCAAGGGCUCAGGCUACAGCCUGCCAAGGCCCAGAUUGUGAGAAGCAACCAGCCCAGCUCAGCAGUGCAUUCAAGCACCGUCAUCUCUACAGGGGCCUAUGGCCAAGUAGCCCACUCGAUGGCUAGUAAAUACCAGUCUUCACAAGGAGACGUGGGAGUAAGUCAGAGCCGGUUGGUUUAUCAAGGGUCAAUUGGGGGGAUCGUAGGGGAUGGGAGACCUGUGCAGCAUGUCCAGGCUAGCCUGAGUGCAGGCGCCAUCUGUCAGCAUGGAGGGUUGACCAAAGAAGACCUUCCACAGCGGCCUGCCUCAGCAUAUCGAGGUGGUAUGAGGUACAGCCAGACACCACAGAUCGGACGUAGCCAGUCGGCGUCCUACUACCCGGUCUGUCACUCGAAACUAGACCUGGAGCGUUCCUCCAGCCAGCUAGGUUCCCCUGAUGUGUCGCACCUAAUCAGAAGACCUAUCAGUGUCAACCCAAACGAAAUCAAACCCCAUCCACCAACCCCCAGGCCGCUGCUACACUCCCAGAGCGUCGGCCUCCGCUUCUCUCCAUCCAGCAAUAGUAUCUCAUCAGCCUCCAGCCUCACUCCUACCUUCCGGCCAUCUUCCUCGAUUCAACAAAUGGAGAUCCCACUAAAACCGGCAUAUGAGAGGUCAUGUGACGAGCUGUCACCGGUGUCUCCCACUCAGGGAGGUUACCCGAGCGAGCCCACCCGAUCCAGGACCACACCAUUCAUGGGGAUCAUAGAUAAAACAGCCCGGACUCAACAGUACCCCCACCUUCACCAGCAGAAUCGGACCUGGGCCGUGUCAUCCGUGGAUACCGUUCUCAGUCCCACGUCUCCAGGCAACCUGCCUCAGCCUGAGUCCUUCAGUCCGCCAUCAUCCAUCAGCAACAUUGCCUUUUAUAACAAAACCAACAAUGCACAGAAUGGCCAUUUGCUGGAGGACGAUUAUUACAGCCCCCAUGGGAUGCUGGCUAAUGGGUCCCGUGGAGACCUCUUGGAGAGAGUCGGCCAGGCCUCCUCAUACCCCGAUGUGAAGGUGGCUCGGACCCUCCCUGUGGCUCAGGCAUACCAGGACAACCUGUAUAGGCAGUUGUCCCGGGACUCUCGACAAGGGCAGACAUCCCCUAUCAAACCAAAGAGACCAUUUGUGGAGUCUAAUGUUUAAAAGACAUUUGUUGGAGUGAGACCCAUAUGUUUUCACUGCACAUUUUCAGGCUUGGUUUCCAUAUUUGAGGUAGUUCCCUGGCUUAAUUUCUCAUGUAGUUUCUGUGUGGUGUUCAGAGGUGGCAGCCCACAUGCUGGAGUUCUUUGCAUGCAGCCGACCGGGAAGCUGGCCUCCAGCGAGCCAGGACUUCAGUUUCUCCCGUCUGUGCCCCAGCCACAUGCUCUCUCCCUCUCUUCCGACGCCAACGAGGAGAUUGUUGUGCCGUGUGCUUUAGCCCAGGGAGAUCAGACACACUGGUCAGCUUUUUCCAGGAGACAAUCGCUUUCACUGAUGUUCUUGUUGUGUGAAUGUCUUUCUCCUUUUUUACAAAAAUAAGGUGUUCUCGUUUGUUUUCUUCUAGGAACUUUAGAAAGAGUAUGAUGCCCCUUUGCCUUUGCAUUCUUGUCCAGUGUUAUCCAAAUAGCCAGCCCCAGUGCAUUCUUGUGCCAUGGUCUCCUCCCCUGGACUGCCAGCUCCCUGCAGUCAUCAGGUCUAGAACGUUCGUUUAGGUUAUUGCUGGUCUUCCUACGGGGGCAAAAGGAUCAAGGAAAAAGAGAAGAAAGAGGUCUAUUAAAUUGGAAGAAAAAUAUAUAUAUAUAUAUAAUUAUUUGAAAUGUCACUACCUUGAUUUUCCAAGAAGUGUUUUAUGAAUAUUUAGAGAACAACCAGCCCUUUAAAUAGUUCACUCAGCCAAGGAAAUCGGAUGAGAAUCAUGGAUAUUCUUAAAUAAUCCACUGAGAGGUAUUCUUUAGGUUUUUAGCCAACAAUUAACUAUUAAAAAUCUACUGAUUUUCCAUGGGUGGUGGGGGGGAAAUACAUAAAUAUAGAGAAAGAGAGAGAGGAAGAAAGACUGUUCUGGAUUCUCAGUGAAAGGCUAGAGAACAUCUUUGUCUUGGAGAAAUCUGCUUUAUAGGUCCUGAGAUAAUCACUGAGCAUCAUAUUCCACAAAAGCAAACUCUUGCCGAGGUUUGACUGGUACACUAAUCCUGUUAGUUGGGUCUUCACCCAGAGCCAGGUUUGUGUUCUACCGGCCCUCCUUUUUUCAGCCCACAUGGUGUAGUGAAGAAACUGGUUCUCUGAGAAGCAAAUUGAAUUCUCUCGGGACCGUAAGACUUUAUUCCUGAAGUUUGCACCCAGGGCCAUUGUACCCUGCGCCAGACGUCAUCUGAUUCUCUUUCGAGAUCUAUAGUUCCAUAAUCUAUUACUCUAGGAAUUGUUUCUUCUUUUCUUUUUUUCGAGGUAGGAGUGUUUGGGGAGCGAUCUUUGAAAACCAGACACUGCAAAGUGUUUCAGGGAGAAGACAGACCCCUUUCAGCCCUGGGUGGGAGCACGUGAGACAGACAGCAGGUCUUCUGAUCCGGUCAGCCUGCACCGUUCCGUGUCUUGUGGUCAUUUGCUGACCUGUCCUUUGCGUGACUGAGGCCAGCACGAGAUGGACAGCAAGAACACUGAAACCAAAGCCUUAGCACAGGCCUGGUACUGACUGCACGUCAGCUCUGAAAACUUAAGAAACUGAGCAAAAGAGAAUCCGUUCUCUGUUAUUAGGAAUCAUUCUGCUCUUGUUAGUAAAGGGCUAUUGGAAGGGCAGUUUCCUGCCCUAAAAAUCCAGAUGUGACCAGACCUGUUUGUAAUAGUAAGUGUCCUCUGAAAGUAUCACGAAGACAUGGGGAGCAUGAAGCUGAGGUCAGAAACAUUUCUCUACUACUUUAGAUUCUGCCGAGUAGAUGGACCCCUCUGCCCCCAAGCUUUUUGAAAGAGGCCAGGACUUGUCUCUCUGUGCUAGAAGCAGACAGCUGGGCCAGCUCAAGACCCAGACUCUUCGCACUCUGUCUGAUGCCUAGGGACUGUGUCCUACUCAGCUAGCCCAGGGUGGGCACCGGCGUCUUGUCCCUUCCCUUCUCCCUCUCUUUCUCUCCCCGAGAAGAUGAAAUGUCCAGCUGUAGCACCAGCCCACAGCCAGGAGCCCGGCUCCCGCUUUGUCCAGGUCUCAGCCCCACGGGGCCCUUUGCAUGUCCUCCCUUCCUGAGCACCUCACUGAGGAGCUGCUGCUACAUUCUUGAAGAACGUCUGCAUCUGUCAGAAAAGCGCCCCUGCUUACUUGGAACGCCACACAUGUGACCCGUACUCCGCUCUCGGGGAGCGAGCGGGUUCUGCAUUUCACCAACUCGCCCCGGAUGUCACUUGUCCCGAGGGUCUCUCACGGUUUUCCUGGACAAACCGGAGAUGUAGGGUCUAUGCCUUAUUGGGCAAAACACUUAGAACAGUCAAAAUGCAACUCUUUGUUAGCCAUUGUAAGAGGGAAUGAAUAUCACUACUGGGCACCAGUUGAGUGUGACUAGAAAAUGCCAGCUGGACCUUCCUGGGGCAGGAGACCGUUCUUCCUUGUAGGCAGCCUGCCCAUGCCCUGCUGCGCUACUUCACUGCCGUGGGCUCGUCUUAGUGCCGCGUCUCCGAGAUGCCCUCUCCCCCGGCAACACUUGCUGAAUCGAUGUCUGGCUUCCGGUGGGGGAAGUUUUUCAGAUGAACCUGAGAUGUACCCAAUAGAAAAAUUAACCAGUAUCUAAUUUAAUAUCCGUAAGUAUUUUCCUUAGAUUUUAGUCCUAUACGGUGGGUUAUGUGGACGUCACCUUGCUUUAACCAUACUCUACCACUAGGUGUCACUGUGGCUCUGCACCAGGCUUGUCUGGUGGCAAAGAACGGCAGCCCGGCCCCCUGGAGGAGCCGCUCCCAGGUCAGCAGGCAGGCCCAGAGGGUUCAGGAAGGAGGGGACAGAGGCCUGCAGAGGGGUCUUCACGUAUCUGCGCCCGCUGUGGCACGAUAAGCUCUUUGAACACUACCCGCUUUGGACCUUCAGCCAGGCAGAGGCUGGGAGAACUGAGUAGAACUCCCUUGCUCUGGUAGAUGGGUGGGUAUGAGGAAGCCUCCUUUGCUCCCCAUGAGCAUCCCUCUCAGUUCCUCUUGGCUUCCAACUAUUAUAACUCCAGAGAUGUCACCGUUGGCUGGUUUGAUUCAAAAAUCAUUAUUUUUCUACUGCAGAAAUGCCUUGGACAAAACCAGUUGCUCACUGAAUCUUUGCCACCAAAUGCAACAGGCUCCCGCCCCCCGGGGGGGGUGGGGGGGACAGGAUGUUCCGCCCUCCCUGUCCCAGCCUCUCCCACCCUUGUCUGUCUGUCCUUGGGCUGCCCACUUCUCAAGAAGCCAACCUGCAAAGGCAGCCUGCUGCUGCUUCCACACCGAGGCCCGUGCGGACCCGUCGCGUGCACAUUGGGAGGUGUGGCUUUUUCUCCUUUUCCUCUAGGAAUUCCAGACUGACCAUCUACCAGGACUAACAACAAUGAACAAAGGGCUUAGGGGUAAGAGCUACCUACAAAGACGUGUCAUGGAAAUCUUCA